rnacentral:rRNA from 1 species
CCUACGGGAGGCAGCAGUGAGGAAUAUUGGUCAAUGGGCGAGAGCCUGAACCAGCCAAGUCGCGUGAAGGAUGAAGGCUCCAUGGUUUGUAAACUUCUUUUAUAUGGGAAUAAAGUGAGGAACGUGUUCCUUUUUGUGUGUACCCUAUGAAUAAGCAUCGGCUAACUCCGUGCCAGCAGCCGCGGUAAUACGGAGGAUGCGAGCGUUAUCCGGAUUUAUUGGGUUUAAAGGGUGCGUAGGUGGUUAAUUAAGUCAGCGGUGAAAGGUUGUGGCUCAACCAUAAGAUUGCCGUUGAAACUGGUUGACUUGAGUAUAUUUGAGGUAGGCGGAAUGCGCGGUGUAGCGGUGAAAUGCAUAGAUAUCACGCAGAACUCCGAUUGCGAAGGCAGCUUACUAAACUAGAACUGACACUGAAGCACGAAAGCGUGGGGAUCAAACAGGAUUAGAUACCCUUGUAGUC